AUUGAACGCUGGCGGCAGGCUUAACACAUGCAAGUCGAGCGGGGGGAGGUAGCUUGCUACCUAACCUAGCGGCGGACGGGUGAGUAAUGCUUAGGAAUCUGCCUAUUAGUGGGGGACAACAUUUCGAAAGGGAUGCUAAUACCGCAUACGCCCUAAGGGGGAAAGCAGGGGAUCUUCGGACCUUGCGCUAAUAGAUGAGCCUAAGUCGGAUUAGCUAGUUGGUGGGGUAAAGGCCUACCAAGGCGACGAUCUGUAGCGGGUCUGAGAGAAUGAUCCGCCACACUGGGACUGAGACACGGCCCAGACUCCUACGGGAGGCAGCAGUGGGGAAUAUUGGACAGUGGGAGGAACCCUGAUCCAGCCAUGCCGCGUGUGUGAAGAAGGCCUUUUGGUUGUAAAGCACUUUAAGCGAGGAGGAGGCUACCGAGAUUAAUACUCUUGGAUAGUGGACGUUACUCGCAGAACAAGCACCGGCUAACUCUGUGCCAGCCGCCGCGGUAAGAC
rnacentral:rRNA from 1 species